CAACUAUAUUAGAUGAUGACUUAUCUCCAAAACGCUUUAAAACUUUCGUUUAUAAUUCUAAGUGUGUUUAUAAUUAAAGAGCUACAGUGAAAUAAAAUGAAUUCUUCAAGAAAGGCAGCACCCAUGACAAAAGAUGAGACGAUGAUUCUAGCAGAACUUGUGGCGGCGAAAAAACAUUUCAAUAAUAAGGCAACAAAUGCCACAAACAAUAAAUUGAAGGAGCAGGCUUGGCAAACCCUUGUAAAUGAUUUUAAUUCGUCGAUUCGUCGUUUCCCACGAACUCCAUCGCAGCUUCGACUAAAAUGGGAAAACUUAAAGAACGCUACGGCAACAUAAGAAACAACCUUAGUAAGGCUGGAGGUGGUAAGGAUUGCAGAUGAAAUUUUGGAUAAAGCAUGCACAUUGUUGUAGGUCACAUAUAAUAUUUUUAACACUUUUACAGCCAAGCGGAAACAA